UAUGGGGUUUUGCGGCCCAUACUGAAUCGCCUUUGUGACUUCUUCGCUGAAGGCGGCGGUGGAUUUAGGCUGUGCAAUCUCGAGCGUUCGAGUAUAUUCGAGAAGUCCUCUGCGAGUUCUUGCAGAAGCUAUAAAUUUGGGAUAUGUUUGGUUGAUUUCUAAGAAAGCUGAUUUGUUAGCUUUUAGUUCUGGAAGAUAUUUUUGGACUUUGUAUUGUUGAUUUGGAGUGGAGAUGGCGAAGGAAGGUCCUAAUUGGGAAGGCUUGCUGAAGUGGAGUCUUUCUCAUUCCGAUGGUACUAGUGCCUCUCGUAAUUUAAGUGAGGAGGAUAGGAAAUGGUUUAUGGAGGCGAUGCAAGCGCAGACAGUUGAUGUUGUGAAGAGAAUGAAAGAGAUUACAGUUGUUAUGCAGACGCCGGAGCAGGUUUUGGAGUCUCAGGGAGUGACAGCUGAAGAUAUUGAAGAUAUGUUGGAUGAACUGCAAGAACACGUGGAGUCCAUUGACAUGGCCAAUGAUCUUCACUCCAUUGGAGGUCUGGUUCCUCUUCUUGGUUACCUAAAGAAUUCUCAUGCUAGCAUCAGAGCAAAAGCUGCAGAAGUUGUCACCACAAUCGUUCAGAACAACCCAAGGAGUCAACAAUUGGUCAUGGAAAACAAUGGACUUGAGCCGCUCUUGUCGAAUUUCAGUUCUGAUCCUGAUGUUGUUGUUCGCACCAAAGCACUUGGUGCAGUUUCAUCUUUGAUCAGGCAUAAUAAGCUCGGGGUUGCAGCAUUCCGCCUGGCUAAUGGUUAUGCAGCUCUGAGAGAUGCUUUAAGUUCCGAAAAUUUGAAAUUUCAAAGGAAAGCUCUGAACUUGAUUCAUUAUUUACUUCAAGAGAACCGAUCAGACACUGUAAUCGCAACCGAGCUUGGGAUUCCUCGCAUACUAUUGCACCUAGCAUCGAGUGAGGAUGCUGAUGUACGAGAAGCUGCCCUUCGAGGGCUCCUUGAGCUAGCACGAGACAGGGAGAAAGCUAAUGAUAUAUCAUCUGAAGAAGACGAUAAACUGAAGCGAAUUCUUCAAGAACGGAUUAAAGCUAUUGGUGAGAUGUCUCUUGAUGAUCUCGGGGCUGCCAGAGAGGAAAGACAGCUUGUGGACUCCCUUUGGGAAACCUGUUAUAACGAACCAUCUUCUCUUCAUGAGAAAGGACUUCUUUCUCUCCCCGGGGAAGAUGACCUUCCACCGGAUGUCGCCAGCCAGCAUUUUCAACCACGUUUGAGAGCGGCAGCAGCUGCAAAUGGGAACCCUGAUUCAAAAUCAAACAAGGAAAAACAAGCAGCACCAUUGUUAAUAGGUCCUGGACCCCCAGCAAACGGUGCUUCUUGAUGCUGCCGUAGGAGUAGAGCACUGAUAUCACAGUCGGUUUGAAAGUGAUGAGAUAUCUCGAAGCUCUGCACUUGUUGAGGCUGGAGGAAUCAUCAAAUGCAUAAGAAUAAGCCUUGGGACAGAUGGCCUUGAACAGAUUUGCAAAAACCGUUGGCUUACAAGUUUUGGGGCUCGAAUACUCCCCGGUGCAGCAGUACUUAGCCGACUGCAUCGCCAAGCACGCGCUCUUGCAGCCCACCACUCUCCCGCCUACCCGGACCUCCAGCGCAGACGGGCAGCAGACAUUCAAAUCAACCUCGCACGACGCCACGCCGCAGCCAAUCCCUCCGCCGACCGGCUUCAUCGACACUGGCAAGUUGAAGCCAUCGACCAGACUCACAUCAUAGAAGUGCAGCGGCGAAGUGGCCGAGCCUAGAGUCAUUUCCACCACCGUUGCUGGCGGCACCCCGCCCAGCCCCCGGCAGCGCAGCUGCCCGGAGCAGUCUCCGGUGGCGCAGGUGCCCUUCCCAUUCCGAUCAAAGUUGCAGAUCUGUCUUCCCCAUAUUCUGCCAGACCAUUUCUCAGCUGAUGCCCACUCCCAUCUGCAGAGAAAGAAAGCCAUUAAAGAACCUGCUUGUCAAGAUUCAAGAAAAUGAUGGAUCAGUUACCUGUGGUAGUGAUGGAGAGAAGAAGCAGACAGGCUGCUGCUGUUUCGAUCUUAUUAUCGACCCGACGAUAGGAGGGAAUGGGUGACGGACGACGAUCCGGAGAACGUGGUGUUCCCUCCAAACGAGGUAUACGAGACCUUUACGUCGUCGAAUCCUUCGAAAUACACAAAC